rnacentral:rRNA from 1 species
CAGUCGCCACGGUAAUACGGAGGGUGCAAGCGUUAAUCGGAAUUACUGGGCGUAAAGCGUGCGUAGGCGGUUCGUUAAGUCUGUUGUGAAAGCCCCGGGCUCAACCUGGGAAUGGCAAUGGAUACUGGCGAGCUAGAGUGUGUCAGAGGAUGGUGGAAUUCCCGGUGUAGCGGUGAAAUGCGUAGAUAUGCGGAGGAACACCGAUGGCGAAGGCAGCCCCCUGGGCCAACACUGACGCUCAUGCACGAAAGCGUGGGGAGCAAACAGGAUUAGAGACCCCAGUAGUCCCUGUCUCUUAUAC